rnacentral:rRNA from 1 species
GAUGAACGCUAGCUACAGGCUUAACACAUGCAAGUCGAGGGGCAGCAUGACGAUAGCUUGCUAUUGUUGAUGGCGACCGGCGCACGGGUGAGUAACGCGUAUCCAACCUGCCCUUGUCCACCGGAUAACCCGUCGAAAGGCGGACUAACACGGUAUGCAGUCCACAGCAGACAUCUAACGUGGACGAAAUGUGAAGGAGAAGGAUGGGGAUGCGUCUGAUUAGCUUGUUGGCGGGGUAACGGCCCACCAAGGCGACGAUCAGUAGGGGUUCUGAGAGGAAGGUCCCCCACAUUGGAAGUGAGACACGGUCCAAACUCCUACGGGAGGCAGCAGUGAGGAAUAUUGGGCAAUGGGCGAGAGCCUGAACCAGCCAAGUAGCGUGCAGGAAGACGGCCCUAUGGGUUGUAGACUGCUUUUAUACGGGGAUAAAGUGAGUCACGUGUGGCUUAUUGCAGGUACCGUAUGAAUAAGGACCCGCUAGUUCCAUGCCAGCCGCCGCCGUAA